AAACUCAAAGGAAUUGACGGGGGCCCGCACAAGCGGUGGAGCAUGUGGUUUAAUUCGAUGCAACGCGAAGAACCUUACCUGGUCUUGACAUCCCGGGAAUUUCCCUUGAAAGAGGGAAGUGCCUCGCAAGAGGAGCCGUAACACAGGUGCUGCAUGGCUGUCGUCAGCUCGUGUCGUGAGAUGUUGGGUUAAGUCCCGCAACGAGCGCAACCCUUGUCAUUAGUUGCUACGAAAGGGCACUCUAAUGAGACUGCCGGUGACAAACCGGAGGAAGGUGGGGAUGACGUCAAGUCCUCAUGGCCCUUAUAGGUGGGGCUACACACGUCAUACAAUGGCUGGUACAAAGGGUUGCCAACCCGCGAGGGGGAGCCAAUCCCAUAAAGCCAGUCGUAGUCCGGAUCGCAGUCUGCAACUCGACUGCGUGAAGUCGGAAUCGCUAGUAAUCGCAGGUCAGCAUACUGCGGUGAAUACGUUCCCGGGUCUU
rnacentral:rRNA from 1 species